CAGAGUUGUCGCCAACCGCCCACGGUAUCAAGGAACAAGAGAUUGGAAUGAUUACGUUAGAUAUAUCAUGAGGAUCGUAGUUACACUUUAUUACACGUUAUAUCAGAACGAAGGAACACAAGAGAGACAUCACUCAUAAUAGUAAAAAGGCAAAAAGAAUAUAUAGUCACGUGCACAUGCACAGGUAAUACUCAUAAACAUAAUACAUUAAAAUAAUUAAUAACAGAGAAUUAAGUGAUUAGAACUCCUUCCAUUGGAACCACUGUCCUGUUUGUUUAUGAUGGAUAUUAUAUAAGUUUAAAAGAAUCUUGAAAAUUUUUUCCUUGCCAUUUUUCCUGACACCAUUUAUUUGUGUUCCUUCUUCCUCUUUUGUACUUAAGCUGAGGGAUGAAUAGACAAUGUUUCUCACAUAUUUUAAUUUUUCGAUUGGAUUGUAAUUGAUGCUUGUCGUUGGAGUCUUUCACUUAUGUCUUUAUCCGUGAUUUUUUACUGCUUAAAAAUAAUCAAGGACAUCUUUUACUACAGGACUAGAAUGGUUUUGCGUGUUCGCGAUAUAAAUAUAAAAGACGUCCUAUUCAUAAUUAUUAUUUUUUCUCUAAAGAUUAUCCUUUUUUUGUUGAUAUUGUGAUCGAUUGUUGUGGAUUAUUCCCAUUUGGAAUUAUGGAUCUAUUAUUAUCCAUGUCAGUUCUAUAACUUAUAUAUCAAUAAUUUGGGUGAAUUGUGCCAUGGUCAUCUCAGCGGUGGAUGAUGCAUUCGUCUAAUGGAAAUAGACAUUUCUUUAAAAGAUGGAAGACUAUGAAGUUAUUGUGCUCAGAGGGAUUAUGAAUUAAGCUCGUCUCGGAUUCGGAUGAUAAGGACACUCUUAAGACACAUUGUUGCUACCCUCUUAUGUGUUGGAGAGGACUUGGUAUCAGUACAACAUUACAGAUUACUUUCUUAUUAAUUAUUUCAUUAUUAUUUUCCUUUUCUUCUCCCUUAGUUAUAUAAUUACUAAUUAGGCUCUAGGAUGAAUUGAUGUCAUUUGUAAUGCAUUUUUGCAUUCAUUAGUGUAAAAUGAGAGCAUUUAAUUCAAUUUUAAAAUAAAACAUAUCAAACAUGACUGUUGCUCCUUUUUAUAAAAUCGCCAUCAGUGAUCCGAUCAAUGACUCGGACUGGUCCACAGGGCCUCUACAACAGAUCCGGUUUUACAAUUUUUACGUGUUAAAGCUGAAGCAGUGCUUCUUGAGGGUAUUAAAAAGCUCCAUUCCAUUAAGUCCUUGGGCCUCUUCUUGUUGCUCAAACAGGCUGUGUCCCUUAAGGGCGAGAAGAUCUCUGUGGAAGCUAAGGUGUCAUAUGGACGACAGGUGGCUUGCGUAGGAUACCGAGGACUUGCGUCUCAUAGUAAAAACUAAGUAACUGUCAUUGUGCAAGUCCUGUUCGUCUUCAUCCAGGAGGGGGCGAAGGGUGUGUCAACUCACAGAUAAAGCUCUGAUUGUAGAACCACUCAACUCCUACAUCUGCGGCUUGAAUAAAAGGUACCAGCAAGAGUCCUCACCUUAACGUUGGCUCCCUGAGACAACGCAAUCAAUCUUCCUCUCCUCUUUCUUCACCUAUUUUGGACAACAAUUAUAGUUUUAAAAUUGUUUCAGAACUAACAAUUUUCAUUAAAUGUGUCAUGUUGGAUUUAAAUCCAAACCUAUCUUUUCAUUGCAUUUUUGGGUCUUGAAAUGUAAUUGCAUCGUUUACAUUGGACUCCUAUUAAGAAAAUGUAUUGAUUUUUAUUUACUUUUCUCUACUCGAAUAGUUUUGUUUAUUAAUAAAAUGAUUUAGUUUUAAA
rnacentral:lncRNA from 1 species